CCGUCUUUUACACACACUGUACACGUAUAUGUAACUCAUUAAUUUGUACACAUUACAUAACAUGCAUUGUACAACAAACAUGGAAAAAUUAGUAAAAAAAUUAAGGAGAAAGAAAAAGCAGAUUAGAAUAUUUCUUUUUUUUUCUUUCAACAACUUAUCGUCGGAAACCAGCCAUUGCCGCCGCCUGUCCCCUCCUCUUUUUCGGGGGAUAGCGCCGGAGCCGGCGCUAUCCCCCUCCCCUUACCUAUGCCAUCACUCCCCUCCCCAGAUCUGCCACCGCUGAUCGUCAGCCAAACUACGGCACCAUGACAAUGCCCUUCUCUCUUUUCAAUACUGCCUCCAGAUCUAAUUACCGAACGACCAACAUCCCAAAUUAACAACUCCGAUGAUCCUCAACCGUACCAUCCUGCCAAAAAAUGGCUUACCAGCUUCAACCCUGCGAAUUCGGCUAUAUCUCUUUCAGAUCUGCCAGCAACCCAUCCUAGAUUCUAACCACCGUCAUUUAAGUCCGAGCAAAAAUCUGACUUUGACAAUCUCUGUUUUUCUAUGUCAAUGUUAAUAUUUUGUAAAUAAUCAUAAAUAGAGGAUGGAGAUAAGUAUCUGGGUUUUUCGUAUAUGCAUAAAUUCUAAGAGAAAAAUAGAGUAUGAGAUGAUAAUAGUGAGUGUGGGAAUACGUGAUAGAAUUAUGUGUCAAUAUUGGGUUAACAGAUGUUGUGAGAGGAUGUGGAUUUUAUUGUAAAUUAAGACAGUGUAAUAAAUAAGUUUAUAAAUAGCAUUAAUAAAGUUUGGAAUAAAUAAUUUUAUAUGUUAAUAAAAAUUUAAAAAAUGAAGGAGUGUUGUAUUGGAAUAUGUGUCUUGAGAAGAAAAUUU
rnacentral:lncRNA from 1 species